rnacentral:rRNA from 1 species
GAUGAACGCUGGCGGCGUGCCUAAUACAUGCAAGUCGAGCGAACGGACGAGAAGCUUGCUUCUCUGAUGUUAGCGGCGGACGGGUGAGUAACACGUGGAUAACCGACCUAUAAGACUGGGAUAACUUCGGGAAACCGGAGCUAAUACCGGAUAAUAUUUUGAACCGCAUGGUUCAAAAGUGAAAGACGGUCUUGCUGUCACUUAUAGAUGGAUCCGCGCUGCAUUAGCUAGUUGGUAAGGGAACGGCUUACCAAGGCAACGAUGCAUAGCCGACCUGAGAGGGUGAAUCGCCACAUGGGAAGUGAGAAACGUUCCAGACUCCUACGGGAGGCAGCAGUAGGGAAUCUUCCGCAAUGGGCGAAAGCCUAACCGAGCAACACCGCGUGAGUGAUGAAGGUCUUCGGAUCGUAAAACUCUGUUAUUAGGGAAGAACAUAUGUGUAAGUAACUGUGCACAUCUUGACGGUACCUAAACAGAAAGCCACGGCUAACUACGUG